rnacentral:rRNA from 1 species
UACGUAGGGUGCAAGCGUUAAUCGGAAUUACUGGGCGUAAAGCGUGCGCAGGCGGUUUUGUAAGUCUGAUGUGAAAUCCCCGGGCUCAACCUGGGAAUGGCGAUGGUGACUGCAAGGCUAGAGUUUGGCAGAGGGGGGUAGAAUUCCACGUGUAGCAGUGAAAUGCGUAGAUAUGUGGAGGAAUACCGAUGGCGAAGGCAGCCCCCUGGGAUAACACUGACGCUCAUGCACGAAAGCGUGGGGAGCGAAUGGG